GUAAGUAUGUAAAGGAAUUAUUACGCAAUUCUAGCUAUGUAUUAAGGAGAGCAAAUUUGAUAUAAAAAGGAAUAUAUAAUAUUUCUAUUUAAUAAGCUCUAGAAGAAAUUUAAUAAUAAACGAAGUGAAGUGAAAUAUCUCAGUAACUUCAGGAAAAGAAAUCAAAAGAGAUUCUAUGAAUAGCGUGAGCGAAAGUAGACAAGUCUAUUAAGUAAAAUGGUUUAUAAACUGUUUGAAUGGGGAACCUUCCUCAAAGACUAAAUAUGAUACAUAAGCGAUAGAUAAUGGGCCGUGAGGUAAAUGGAAGUUAGUAGUAAUUUUAUAAGCAGUUCGAAUAGACUUAGUUUAAGCUAAAGAACGUACCUUUUGCAUAAUGGGUCACCAAGUUAACAUUAGAUGCGAGAAAAUUUCGUAGUUAAACCAAACGUUAAAAUAACGAUAAGUGUCUAAAGUUAGACCCGAAGCCUAGUGAUUUUACUAUGAUCAGGAUUAUAAAAGUCCGAACGGGUGAUUGUGGCAAAAAUCUCCGAAGAAUCGUGGUAGGUAUAGUGAAAGACAAUACUGACUAGGAUAGCUGGUUUUCUGCGAAACCUAUAACAGUAGGCAAUUUAAGUAAAUAUCUUAGCAGGUACAGAAUUUAAUCUCAGGCAAUAUUUUAUUGCGCAAAUUGGGGAAUCGUGAAGAUUUUAUCAGUGAGUAUGUAGACUCGGAAUGGCAAAGAUAUAUCUUGAAUGAUCAGACAUAGAAUGAUAAGGUUGUAUGUCAAAAGGGAAACAGCCCAGAACAAGAGUUAAGGUUCCUAAAUUAUUAGUUAAGUGAAAUUAAGAAGGUUUUUAUUAAAGUCGACAAGGAGAUAGGCUUAGAAGCAGCCAUAAUUUUAUGACCUCGUAACAGAGCGCUUGUUAAGUUAUAAAAGCAUCGAAAAUAUAACGGAUCUAAACAAUAUACCGAAACCUUGUCCAUAAAUUAUUAAGGAUAUUUAAUAUUUGUGGGGUAGCAGAACGUUGAAUUAGGCUAAAUAGCAAGUUUGUAAAUUUGUUAUGUUAAUUCAAGUGAGAAUGGUGACAUGAGUAACGAAAAGAAUAGUAGAUUUAGGUACAUACAUUAAAUAAUAGAUCUUAUUUAAUGUUUACUAGAUCUGCUAUCCGCCUAAAGCUUAUGGUUAGAAUUAAGUAACGGCCUCUAAGCUUUUAAUCUAAAGAUUGAAGCGAUGAGAAAAUCUUUUAUUAUGAAAUAGACGACAUUUAUCUAGUGAAAAAUGUACAGGAAAAAUCGUAAUAUAGUAACCGUACCUAGAAACCGACUAUGGUAAGCUAGUAGAGAAUACGAAGGCGUAAUUGAGAUAACAAUCAUAAAGGAACUCGGCAAAUUGACUAUCGUAACUUCGGGAUAAGUAGGGCUCAUUAUCCUUGAUUAAUAUCAGGUAAAGAGGAAGAAACAUAAAAUAAUGUUGUACGACUGCUUAAUUAAAACACAGCACUUUGCUCAAAGAUUAAAAAUCUAUGUAUAAAGUGUGAUAUCUGCCCGGUGCCGGCUGGCUAACAGAGAUAAUUGAAUAUAUUACUAUUUGAUGUCAACGGAAGCCCCGGUUAAAGGCGGCCUUAACGUGAGGGUCCUAAGGUAGCGAAAUGCCUUGGCCGUUAAAUGCGGUCUUGCAUGAAUGGUGUAACGAUACAACAGCUGUCUCUAUGAUUGACUCAGUGAAAUUGGAAUAGCUGUGCAGAUACAGCUUACCUCUAGUUAGACGAGAAGACCCUAUGCAGCUUUACUGUCACUAAUUAUAGAUUUUGAUGAACAAUUUUCAGACUAAAAGGGAAUUGAUUAAAUAUUCAUGAGAAACCUUUAUUUUUUUCUUCAUUUGAAUGAAUUGAUAUACCUACAAACGUUAGUAUAUCAUCCUAGUUCAGCCUAGUUUCUUAGUUUACUAAGAAAUAGGUACCCUUGGAGAGGAACUAUUGCUAGGGGACAGUUUAUGUGGGGCACAGACCCUGUAAAGAGUAAACAGGUGUGUCUAAUAAUUAUUUUUAUUUUGUUUGCUAUUUUUUUAUAAAUCGUAUUUACUUUGAUAUAACUGUAACAUAGUAUUUCGUAAGAAAACUAUAUGAUUAUAUUUAUAUCGAAAAUUUAGGUAAGAUUUUGACUAUACUGAAAUUAGAGAUAAUUUAAAAUUUUAUGUAAUUUUUUACUAAAGUUUUAUAGUUAUUUAAACUUACGUUUAAAUAAUUAUGUUUUUAAUAUCUAAAAAGCUCAACGGCUUAAUCUUGCCUUACUGUUUGAUUAUCGACAAAUCUUACAGUUGCGUAAGCAGGGCAUAGGAUCACAAGAUGCAAUAAGGAAAGAUCUUGGAUUAUUGGAAAAGCUACGCUAGGGAUAACAGGCUAAUUUGCGCAAGAGUGUACAAAAUGAGUGCGCGGUUUGGCACCUCGAUGUCGGCUUAACUUAUCCUCAUGGAUGCAGAAACUAUGUAGGGUGCGACUGUUCGUCGAUUAAAAAGUUACAUGAGCUGGGUUAAAUACGUCGUGAGACAGUAUGGU
rnacentral:rRNA from 1 species